GGGGCAUUAGCUCAUCUGGUAGAGCGUUUGACUGGCAGUCAAGAGGUAACGAGUUCGAGUCUCGUAUGCUCCA
rnacentral:tRNA from 1 species